rnacentral:rRNA from 1 species
UACGAAGGGGGCUAGCGUUGCUCGGAAUCACUGGGCGUAAAGGGUGCGUAGGCGGGUCUUUAAGUCAGGGGUGAAAUCCUGGAGCUCAACUCCAGAACUGCCUUUGAUACUAAAGAUCUUGAGUUCGGGAGAGGUGAGUGGAACUGCGAGUGUAGAGGUGAAAUUCGUAGAUAUUCGCAAGAACACCAGUGGCGAAGGCGGCUCACUGGCCCGGUACUGACGCUGAGGUGCGAAAGCGUGGGGAGCAA